CUCUUCCUUCUCUCUUCUUUCUCUCUCUAUUGGAAACCACCAUUGAAGACAGGCUAGGGGGAUGUUUUGGGGGAUGGAAAACGAUGAAUUCACCAUCAAAUCUUCAUCUUUAUAAGAUCUAAUUACAUAUUGAGACUCUUUCCUCAAAGGGUUCCUUCAAAAUGGAUUUCAAAAGAUGUGUUUUCAUGUUCAGGUUGUUAAAGCCUCAUUCGGGUAAAUUCACUUAUUUCACACAAUUCUUUUGGUCAUGCCUUUUAGAGAUAAUGGAGAGAUGAAUAUAUUUAUUGAAUCCGUCGGGACUGACGGGGCUCGAACCCGCAGCUUCCGCCUUGACAGGGCGGUGCUCUUACCGAUUGAACUACAAUCCCAAGAAAAUUAGGUGGACGACUUGAAUAUGUCUUGGAUAUUCUCUAUCAUCCAAGUGGGUCGGUUCUCACAUUUCAAGGGCAACGCCAAUAUCAUUCCUAUGAAGUUCUUUUGCUUUUCUAUGACUUUUAUGUUCAUUCAACUUUUAUUGUAUAAGCCUUGUAUAAGACUAUAUGUGGUUUGUUUAUAUUUGAUGUAGGUUUAUGCCUAUAUUGUGAUAAUCAUUUGGUUGGUAUGAGAUGUGACAAUCUAUGAGACUA